rnacentral:misc_RNA from 1 species
GAUGAAGAACGCAGCGAAAUGCGAUAAGUAGUGUGAAUUGCAGACUUUAGUGAAUCAUCGAAUCUUUGAACGCACAUUGCGCCCGCCAGUAUUCUGGCGGGCAUGCCUGUUCGAGCGUCAUUUCAACCCUCAGGCCCCCAGUGCCUGGUGUUGGGGAUCGGCCCAGCCUUCCUGUAAGGCCGCCGGCCCCGAAAUCUAGUGGCGGUCUCGCUGUAGUCCUCCUCUGCGUAGUAGCACAACCUCGCAGUUGGAACGCGGCGGUGGCCAUGCCGUUAAACACCCCACUUCUGAAAGUUGACCUCGGAUCAGGUAGGAAUACCCGCUGAACUUAAGCAUAUCAAUAAGCGGAGGA